UCUACAGGCUUAACACAUGCAAGUCGAGGGGCAGCAUGAACUUAGCUUGCUAAGUUUGAUGGCGACCGGCGCACGGGUGAGUAACACGUAUCCAACCUGCCGAUGACUCGGGGAUAGCCUUUCGAAAGAAAGAUUAAUACCCGAUGGCAUAGUUCUUCCGCACGGUGGAACUAUUAAAGAAUUUCGGUCAUCGAUGGGGAUGCGUUCCAUUAGGUUGUUGGCGGGGUAACGGCCCACCAAGCCUUCGAUGGAUAGGGGUUCUGAGAGGAAGGUCCCCCACAUUGGAACUGAGACACGGUCCAAACUCCUACGGGAGGCAGCAGUGAGGAAUAUUGGUCAAUGGACGAGAGUCUGAACCAGCCAAGUAGCGUGAAGGAUGACUGCCCUAUGGGUUGUAAACUUCUUUUAUACGGGAAUAAAGUGAGGCACGUGUGCCUUUUUGUAUGUACCGUAUGAAUAAGGAUCGGCUAACUCCGUGCCAGCAGCCGCGGUAAUACGGAGGAUCCGAGCGUUAUCCGGAUUUAUUGGGUUUAAAGGGAGCGUAGGCGGACGCUUAAGUCAGUUGUGAAAGUUUGCGGCUCAACCGUAAAAUUGCAGUUGAUACUGGGUGUCUUGAGUACAGUAGAGGCAGGCGGAAUUCGUGGUGUAGCGGUGAAAUGCUUAGAUAUCACGAAGAACUCCGAUUGCGAAGGCAGCUUGCUGGACUGUAACUGACGCUGAUGCUCGAAAGUGUGGGUAUCAAACAGGAUUAGAUACCCUGGUAGUCCACACAGUAAACGAUGAAUACUCGCUGUUUGCGAUAUACAGUAAGCGGCCAAGCGAAAGCGUUAAGUAUUCCACCUGGGGAGUACGCCGGCAACGGUGAAACUCAAAGGAAUUGACGGGGGCCCGCACAAGCGGAGGAACAUGUGGUUUAAUUCGAUGAUACGCGAGGAACCUUACCCGGGCUUGAAUUGCAACUGAAUGAUGUGGAGACAUGUCAGCCGCAAGGCAGUUGUGAAGGUGCUGCAUGGUUGUCGUCAGCUCGUGCCGUGAGGUGUCGGCUUAAGUGCCAUAACGAGCGCAACCCUUAUCGAUAGUUACCAUCAGGUUAUGCUGGGGACUCUGUCGAGACUGCCGUCGUAAGAUGUGAGGAAGGUGGGGAUGACGUCAAAUCAGCACGGCCCUUACGUCCGGGGCUACACACGUGUUACAAUGGGGGGUACAGAAGGCAGCUACACGGCGACGUGAUGCUAAUCCCGAAAGCCUCUCUCAGUUCGGAUUGGAGUCUGCAACCCGACUCCAUGAAGCUGGAUUCGCUAGUAAUCGCGCAUCAGCCACGGCGCGGUGAAUACGUUCCCGGGCCUUGUACACACCGCCCGUCAAGCCAUGAAAGCCGGGGGUACCUGAAGUGCGUAACCGCAAGGAGCGCCCUAGGGUAAAACUGGUGAUUGGGGCU
rnacentral:rRNA from 1 species